rnacentral:sRNA from 1 species
AUGACAGUCCUAGAAACCAAAGUCCUCUGUUUAUUCAUAGAACAUAUACUGGCCCAAUCUUUAAGACUUGAACUGGAGAGAUCACAUUUAGGAUAAUAGAACAGUUCACUCUGUAUGCUCAUUACAUUUUUGGCUUCU